rnacentral:lncRNA from 1 species
UGCGGAUGCAAGAAGCGGCGAGCCUACAUGAUCAUCUAAAUGAGUUCAACAAGGUGGUGGCCCAGUUGACCAGCAUCGGAGUCAAUCUGGAUGACGAAGACAAGGUGUUGAUCCUACUAUCUUCGCUACCGACGACAUAUGAGCAUUUGGUGACCACGUUGCUUUAUGGCAAAGAGUCCAUAAGCGUGGAGGCGGUCACGGCGGCGCUUCUCUCGAACGAGAUGCGGAAGAUGACUCAGGGGUCCGGCACGCAAAGUCAGGAUGUAGGACUGGUGGUGACUGCGAAGAAAGAGGCGAGAAUAUCGGCGACCGGAUAUCGACAGAAGAAACCGCUAUCUGAGGUAGAAUGCUUUUACUGUCACAGGAAGGGGCAUAUCAAGCGCAAUUGUCAAAAACUUCAGGAUGAUCUGAAGGAGUUAAAGUGACAGAAGGAGCAAACUGUCGUGAACCAGGACGAGACGGUAUCAGCGACGGCGCAGACAGCAGAGUCGGAGAUGAUCGAUUCUGAUGUGCUGUAUGUGGCGACCGGAGGUGCGAAAAUUUCGGACGAUGCAUUGGUGCUCGAUUCGGCGUGUUCUUUUCACGUAUGCCAGGAGAAGGAGUCUUUUGCCACCUAUAAGGCGAUCAAAGGUGGAAAGGCGCUGAUGGGGAACGGGACAGCGUGCAAAGUAUUGGGAGUCGGCAUGGUGAAAAUCCGAAUGCACGAUGGGGUCGUGAGGACGCUGACAGGUGUGCGGCACGUUUCUCGAUUGAAGCAGAAUUUGAUCUCGUUAGGCGCAUUGGACUCGAAGGGUUGCAAUAUUUCAGCUUCAGGUGGAGCUAUGAGUGUCCGAAAACGAGAUCGGGUCGUAUGCGAGGCGAACAAGCGUGGGAACUUAUACGUUCUGAACGGGAGCACAGUCAAAACGGGAGCGAAGACGGUCUGGGUUCCGAAAGUUCGCGGAGGUGCAGUCACUCGAGGCGAAGCGACGGAUGCGGCGACAUCGAGCGGAGGAGACAAGCUCAAGGUGGAACUUGCAUGGUGAGCUCGUGUAGCGGUUGAAAAUUACAAAUCAAACCAAGGUGGAGAAUAUUAGGAUUUGGUUAGAUUUGUAGUUAAAUCCUAUUUGGAUAAGAAUUAAUAUUUAAAUCUAUUAGAGAUUGAUUAAGAUAGAUUUAGAUAUUAAUUAAAGUAUGAAUCCUAAAUAUAUUAGGAUUGGGGUACGUUUUAAGUUGAGCAUUAUAAAUAGGUAUUAUGGCUCUCUUUUUUGAGAGUAGUACGGCUAGAACCAUUGGGGUGUCGUACCAGAGAGAAAAAGAGAGAGAGAGAGUUAUUUUAGUGCACCUUGUGCACGAGUGCACGCGGAGAGGUCUUCUUUGUGGGUUUAUAGAAGACGAGAGAAAGGUAGGAGAGAUUCAAAAAGAGGGCUAGGGUUGUAGCUACUCUGUUGCAGAAGAGGAGUCAGGUGUAAUCUUCUCUUAUUUAAUUGAAUCUUAUUUUACCCGCAUAUUUUCUGUUUUGAUUUUUUCUCUCUUUUAUGAUUGUAUCAGCUUUUGCUGAGGAGACUGGUUUAUGGUAAAAAUCAGAUUUGACGCUUCCGUUGCGGAAUCCUAACAAUCGAUACCGGAUCCACAGCAGUCGGUAUCGGAGCGGGUUGCGGAUUCACGAGAUCCGGUACCGGGACGAGUACCAGAUUUCCAACACAUACUUGGUAAUGCAAUUGAAUGGAAUGAGCAGGCCGCGUCAAUCAGGUGUUGAGCGAUAUAGUCAUGCUUCUUCCAUAAGAAAAUUUUUCUUUCUGACUUUUAAAAAUCUACAUUUUAUCUGCUUAAAUUUUUUAAAAAAAAUUUAGGAGGGUACGGCGUUCAAUGGAGAGGGCAAAAUGACUAAAUUACCCUUAUUUCUUCCAUAAGAAAAAAAAUAUAAUUUUUUAAUAUAUUUCUGUCAUUUUGAAGAGUGUUUUCGAUAUAAAUUGUAAGAAAUGGACGGAAUAGUGAUGAAAUCCUGAUAGAGGGGGGCUAAAUGCAACAACUUGAAAUAGUGAGAGGGUAGAAUAUAGAUUUUUUUAAGUUAAAAACAAAAAAUAAAAAAGUGAAUAUUUAGAUGGGGAUUUUCUAUAAUUUAGUCUUUUCUUUUUUUUUUUUUGUAUCUCUUUUGCUAGAAUUCCCAAGGUCAAUUGGGAUUCCCAUGUUAGUAAUUCACUAUGGGCCCAUCAACAGCCCACUAAUUAAGCAUUAACAGGCUCUUACGUUUUCGUAAAGCCCAAGUUAUCUUGAACCAUACAGAAGCCCAAAGCAUUUAUGACUGUUGGAUUAGCACAAGAUACGAAAAUAAAAGCAUAAGGACUAUUGGGCCUCUUUAGGUAAAUACUAUCUGUUUGGUCCAGCUUCUGCUUUUAUAUUUGACGAUAAUCAUCUCGAGCAGCGUAUAUGACAAAAAUAGAAAGUUUAGUGUUUCUACUGUAGUGGUAAUGAAAAAUAAGAUUCCGAGACCGUAGAGCAGACCUCUAAUUUAUUUAAUUAUUUACUUUUGCUUUAGAGAAUCUAUUAACAUAAUUUUACUACAACGUUUUUUUGUUUUAGAUAAUAUUUUAUCCGACAACACGAUACCUUAUAUCUUUCGAUGAGAAUUCACUCGAGUCUAGCAAGUUGUACACCUCUAACCUAAAGAGGGCCGCAGUGAUGAGCGGCUAACGAAGAUGGAGCAAAAGGCGUUGAGUACUUUUCAUUAACAAAUAAAGUCGUCUGCAGCGUAAGCAAUCAGAAAACAUUGAUAAGAUUAUGAAUAAAACUUUGAAAAUAUCUGUACAUGACUAAAUUCUUAACGAACAGACUGUAUUAAAACAAAGACCGUGCGCACCUCAAAUGUUGAAAUAACGAUAAUUAAUUUAAUCUACUGAGGCGCAAAUAAUGCCUACCAAAAGGACAAGAAGCCGUUCAUUAUCAUUUAUAAUUGACUCUUGAAGAAUCCAAGAACAAGCACUUGCAUAUUUCUUUAAAGAAUCCAAGUACCCUACGACUUGUAGCUAACAGGGGUACGAAAAGAAGCAUCAAUGAGCCAGUAGAAGCCUCCAAUUUAAGUACCUCUUUUGCCGAUAUUUGUUAGAGGUGUAAACGAGCGGAACAUGAGCGAGCUAAGUUAUGAGCUCAAGCUCAGCUCAUGUAUAAUUCAUUAGCUUAAAAGGUCUAGCAUUUCAUUCGAAAUGGAGAGAGGUCGGAUUGGAUCGAGUCAUGUUCGAACUAGUGAGAGACUGAUGGAAUCGAGUCACAAUCGAGAUCUGUACACGCUGUGUUCGUUGUCGGAUUGUUGGCGCUAACCAUUAAUCCCAAAAACUUGAGCAGUUAGAAAUACACAACUAAUUCACUCAAAGCGUACAGAUACAGUGUCCACGGGUCUCGAUGUGACUCGGCCCAACCAGCCUCACGCCACUUCAAACAUGGCUCGACCCACCCAGCUUCACGUCAUUUCAAAUAUAAUUCAGCCCAAUAUGACCUUCCGUCACAGGGCAGGAUGCUGACCCAUUUAAGUCAACAUUCGUAUACUUUGAGUGAAUUGGCUCACGCCAAUGAUCUGACAAGCUAGCUCGAGCUUGAGCCUGUUCAUUUAAUUGAGAGUUGAACUUGCGUUAGUCGUGAACAAAUUAUUGAAGGAUUUAUUCCGAGUACUUGAGGAACGUGAGAGCUAAAGAUUAUUGUUUCUAUUUGUUUCACAUAGAAACUGUUGUUUUUUUUUUUUUUUUUUUUUUUGAGAAAUAGGUAGCAUGCUACCCGCGCUUUGUUUAUUUCAUUUAGAAAUAAACUUAGCUGGAAGUGUGAAUCAACUAUGAUUCGAACUUGGGUCUCGGAUACCAACCACCAAGCCCUUUGCCACUUGCUCUAGGGACGGUCGGUGAAACUGCUAAGUAAAUAAUGUUGCUAAGAAUAAUUAUAUUAGUAUAAAAUUUGUAAUUAUUCUUUGUAUGAUAAGCUAAUGCUUAAUUUUGCUACAUAAAUUUUCUAUAAUAAACAUAUUCCACAUUAUUUGCAUCUACAUUUUAUGUUGUCAACUUGGAUUGACGCAAAUAAGUGCGAGCUAGUCGAAGUGGGUAUUAAUUCCUCAAAAAAUUAGAAAAAACUAUUUUUCCAAAAAUAAAAGUGUUUUUAUACAAGAUAUUUUUUUCUUUAUUUUUCGUUUUACAGAUGAAAAACUUGAAAAACAAAAAGAGAACUUUUCCGUAAAAAUUGAAAAUUAUUUUUCUAAAAAAAGUACUUUUUUAAAUAAAUAAAUAUUUUGUUUAGCUAGAAAAUUGCUUGCUGAGAUUAUUUCUGAAGAAUCAAACACCCUCUAUGCUUAAGUUUGCUUGCUCAUAUAUAUAGUCUCCAAUGGAAUACGAAUUAAUUAAGAGCUAAAGUUUUAAAUUUUAGAUAGAUUAUUGGUCCGAAAUCUAUCGAUUUAACUUCAGAUUGGAUGAGUUUUACUAGAUACGUUGCAUUUUUAACUCAUCUUGGUUCGUGCUACACCCCUUCGAAGUUGGCAUGUUCCAUCUGUACAGCAGAGCCUGAGUUCACGCGCAUUGAGUGCGAAGUCACGAGUUUACGCCAUGCACAAACUCUCUGUUUGGUGAGACAGAUUCAAGCCUAAGAACCGCAUAGGCCAUACGAAACUCGAGCUCUGCAAUUUCGUCCAAACACCCGCGAACUCUGGUUACAAAAACUCAACCACUUCAACCCUGGCUUAAUUUGAUCAAAACAAGCAUGCUUCUAAUCUUCUUAACUUUGGAUGUGCUUCAAUGGAUAUGUUAUUGACUUAAUCUUCAUAACAAAACACACAGAAAAUUUUCAUAGAGAAGAUUUUUUACAUAGAAAUCUAAGUUUUGUUUUUUUUUGUUUGUUUUUUUUGGUAGGUCCAAAGGACUCUGCCCCAUUAAUAAACGAGAAAAUGUAAAACUAGAGGCUCGAAUCUUUGACCUCAUAAACCGGCACUAGAAGUACUAAAAUAAUGUAUGGGGAAAAGAGUAACAUUAUGUUGUGUCUAUUAAGAUUGUUUAGUAUUUUCAUUUUAUUUCUGAAUAAAAUCUGAAAAAAGAGUAACAUUAUGUUGUGUCCAUUAAGAUUGUUUAGUAUUUUCAUUUNAUUUCUGAAUAAAAUCUGAAAAAAGAGUAACAUUAUGUUGUGUCCAUUAAGAUUGUUUAGUAUUUUCAUUUUAUUUCUGAAUAAAAUCUGAAAAAUCGUUCUCUAAAUAUCUGAUUUUUUACUUUUUCUUCCUUACUUUUAAAAUCUACAUUUUACUAUUUUCAAAUUUCAAGUUAAUGCAUUUGGACCCCCUCCGCUAGGUUUUCGUCACAAUUCUGUUCAUUUCUUAUAAUUUAUAGCGUAAAUGCUUUUGAAAAUAACAUAAAUAUAUUAAAAUUUUAUUGUUUCUUAUAGAAUAAAGGUAAUUUUGUUAUUUUUUUUCUUAUAGAAUAAAGGUAAUUUUGUUAUUUCGCCCUCUCCUAACUUCUUGAAAAUAUUUUUAAAAUUUUGUUAUUCUAUAUUUCUUAUAGAAUAUAGGAUGCUGAAAGUCAAAGGAGAAAAAAAAAAAAAGAUAUUUAAAUAGAUUUUUUUUUUUUUUUGGUAUUUUAUCCUUUUUUUUGUUUUUGAAGUUAUGACAUGAACUCUCAACCAAAGGAGGAAGUCUAGUGUGUAACACUUACACCACAUCAUCAAUAACCAGCCAAUCAUAUAUAUCUUUCGAUAAAACUACUCAAAAUCAAUUGGCAAGAGGUCAAUGAUUAUGUGAGUUGCUUAAAUAAUCCCAAUCAAACCCUCUCAUGGUGGAAAAGCAAAUAGCUACUAUUUAUACCGGAGUAAAUGGAUAUAUAUCUUGAUCCGUUAGAAAUUGGACACGUAAAGAAAUUUCUUAUUCAGGGUACUCCCGAAAACAGAUCCAGUGGAGACGGGUUGGGGCUUGUAGCUCAGAGGAUUAGAGCACGCAGCUACGAACCACAGUGUCGGAAAUUCGAAUACUUCCUCACCCAUAGCUUUCCCAAAAAAGCAAGGCCCUUACUUUACCACUAGAGUAGGAAAAUCAUGAUUGGGAUAGCGGAAGCAAAGCUAUGGCUAGCGCCCAUAGUGUGAGGGGCGAUGUGUACAUGGUCUGGGAACAAAUUCAUCGCCGUAUCGCUGACCGGCGAUUACUAGCGAUUCCGACUUCAUGCAGGCGAGUUGCAGCCUGCAAUCCGAACUGAGGAUGGGUUUUUGGAGUUAGCUCACCCUUGUGGGAUCGCGACCCUUUGUCCCGUCCAUUGUAGCGCGUAUAUCGUCCAGGGCAUAAGAGGAAUGAUGACUUGAUGUCAUCCUCACCUUCCUCCAGCUUAUCACCGCCAGUCUGUUCAGGAUUCCAAACUCAAUAGUGACAACUAAACACGAGGGUUGCGCUCGUUGCGGGACUUAACCCAACACCUUACGGCAUGAGCUGACGACAGCCAUGCACCAGAGAGAAGUACAAAAAAAAUAUUUUUUUAUUAACCAUAAAAGGAUUGGUAAUCCAAAGGAAACAAUCUAAUUGGCUGGAGACGCUAUAUCAGCAAUAUAAUCGGUGCAUUCUAAAAUUUUUUCAACUAAAAAGAAUGAUGUUUUUCUUUUUUUUUUAAAAAAAAACCUAACUCUUUUUGGUGGAAGAGUGUUCUAACGACCAGGGAGGUCUUCAAAUGUGGUAUCUCUUUCACAAUUGGGAAUGGUCAAAUGGUUAAUUUCUGGAUUGAUAUCUGGUGCGAUCGAGCUCCACUGCGAAUUUUAUAUCCGUGUAUCUUUGAUAAGACCACUUCGAAAAACUCCAAAGUGAAGGAGUGCUGGGGGAGAAAUGGGUGGAAGUGGCAUAAGAUUUUGUCAGGAUUCACCCCUUCGACCCCGAGAGACUGCGACCAACUUUCGAACUUCAAGGAGUUACUUGUUACGAUUUCUCCAAGUAAUUCACAGGACGAAGUAAGAUGGAGGUGGACACAUUCCGAAACGUUCUCGAUCAACUCGGUAUAUAAAUUCCUUAUGGACAGUGGAGUCAGAGUUGACAGUUCCGUACGUCUAUGGAAGAUCAGAUUCCCUCUUAAAGUCUAGAUCUUCGUUUGGCUUGUGCUGAAAAAUAAGGUGCUCACCAGGGACAACCUUCUCAAAAGGGGCUGGAAUGGAAAUAAAAAUUGUGUUUUAUGUCUAGACGAAAAGGAGACUGCGGAUCAUCUCUUCUCUGGCUGCACCUACACCACAGCUUUACUGAAAGGUUUGCUACCUAAUAAACUACUCUUUAACAAUCGCCCUUCCGCGAAGGAGUUUGGAAAAAGAGUAGUGCCAAAAAGGGCGCACAUGGGGAUAUAGAAAUGUUGACCAUCGCUGCAACGUGGUGGGUAUUAUGGUUGGAGCGCAACAAACGAAUUUUUCAGUAAUCAAGAUGGGCGCUGGGGAGUCUGUUUAUGGAGAUCAGAGUGCUUAGAGACUCGUGGAAUCGCUCAUGUAGUUGAUCUGUGUUGUUUUUGUUUUUCUUUCCCUUUUCUUCUUUUCUUUUUUCUUUUGUCUUUCUUUUGUUUUUCUCUUGUACUUGAGUUUGGCUUUUAUAUUUUCCUCUUUCUUUUCUCUCGGGGUCUUGGAUGUCUCAAUUUGUAACUAAGUUCACUCCCUAGUUGAAUGAAGCGGUAGUAUGCUAUCUUUUCUCAAAAAAAAAAAAAAAAAAAAAAAAAAAAAAAAAAAAAAAAAAAACCCUCUCAAAUCAUACUAAAAAAAUAAUUUAAAUAAACUUUAUGUUAGCCGUUCAUUACUCUUUAAAUGAAAACGGUUAUUAGUUGAUGUUAUAAAUGGUGAAAAAGUCUAAAUCAUAAUAAAAAAAUAAUAAAGUGAACAGGGCCUAAGAUUGCGCUUUUAAUUUUUAAAUUUAUUAGGUACUCAGUACUCUCGAUCAUGACCUGACCUGGAUUAAUUAACAUUAAAUUGUACAACACAGUUGAACUAACACGCAUCAAUUGUAAUCAAAUUAUCGUAGCUAUUAAAUAUUAUUUGAUACUAUAAUUUUAUUUUUUUCAAGAAAAAAGAAAAAAAUAUUAUAAGUAAUUAUAUUAAACCCUCAACGCGUAUAAUUUAUAACUAAUUUUACUUAGUUAUAUAGAUACAAAAUAUAUUUUAUACAUUAUAUAUUUGUGUAAACGCUUAAUCUGUAUGGGCUUAUGCAUAAAAGAACCGCAUAUAGUAAUAAAAAAUAAUAAAUUUAAAUAGUAAUAUUUAUAGGAUUGUUAGUGUGAGACUCUUUUGGAGUAUAACAUACAUAAGUACAUACUAUGAAGUAUUUAUAUAAAUAUUUAAUUUAAAUGAUAAAUUUUUGGUAGUUAUAAUUGUAAAACUCUUUUUAAUAUUAUACACAUAAUUUCUUUUUUUUUUUAAUAAGACAUAUAAGAAAAUAUUAAAUCUAAGAUAUUGCCGAUUAAUUAUAAAAGAUAUAAUAAUAAUUUUAAUUCAUAAUUUUUUUAUAUAAAGUAUAUAAGUUUGAAAAACUUAUACAUUAAUACUAAAUAAAUUAAACUAAAUUUAUUGCCCCUUAAUUAUUUGCUAUCAAAAAUACCACCCGAACUUUUUAGGGAUAAGUUGUUAUUUUACAACUUAAUUCUUAUUUAACUAAACUUUAAUCAUGGCAAAAUAACAAUCCAUUAAGAGAGUGGAGGGAAAUCAUGAUAAUUUUCUACAUUUGAAGGGAUAUGCAUGAUAUUUUUAAGUUCGCAGGGGUAUUUGCAAUAUUUAUAUAUUUGAGAGGGGUAGUGAUGAAAUUGUCCCUAAAUUUUAGUUAGGGAUAUUAAAGUAAUUUUAUGUCAUGCAUUUUAUAUGUAAGGUAUAUAUUCCUUCUAUACAAACUAACAUGGUAGCAAUACAAACUAACAUGGUAGCAUGUGAUCUUGAGCAAUAAUUUUUCCUUUUUUUUUUAAGGAUAUAAAUUUCAAAUACCAUCUCUGUGGCUUCACACUUUCUUACUUUAGUAUCAUGUGGUUUAAAGUGUAUACCAUGUGAUUUCAUUUUAUCUUUUCGUCAGCUUUUUCGUUAAUAUUUUAUUAAAUUAUAUACAAAAAGCUUCAGAUACCCCACCUAGGUUAAUAGAAUAUUCACUUUAGUAUCAUUUAGUUUUAACUUUGCAUUGAUUUAACGAAAAAAAAAAUAGUGGAAUUAAUAAUAAAAAGAGAAAAAUGAAACCAGAGGAUACCAAAUUGAUAUACUUUAAAUCAUGGGGUAGUUAAGUGAGAAAGUACGAAACUACAGGCGUGGUAUUUGAAGUUUUUCCUUUUUUUUUUUUUUUUUAAGUGCUCCCACCUCCUUUUUAAUAAAUCCAAUGCAAGUUUCAAUGAUUCAUGUCUUAAAACCAUAAUGUAAUUUGAUAGAUACAUUCUGCACCAUCCAAAAUAUUUACGUAUAAGAAUGUAAAAUAUUUGACAAUUUAUUAAUAAGACAUCAAGUAGUAGUCGCAAUAAUCAACAAUAUAUGGAGGGAAAGAAUCUCUCGUUUGUGAGAAAUAGAGGUCCAAAAUUUAUAAUUUUAAACAUAUAAGUAUUUUAAAAAUUGUUGAAUAUAUUAUGUAAGUCGGAUUCUGAAUGGAAUGUAUUUAUACACCUGGUCUUUUAGAAACCAUACUUAAUUUCUCUUUUAUUCCCAUGUCUUUUUAAAAAUUUUAUUUCGUCCUCUUAAAAUUUAGAAUUGUAGCACUUAAUUCGGCACUAUUACAGAUUUUUAUCGCAAUUUCGUGUACAAAUUGUAUAUUAUAGUUACGAAACUUACUGAAAUACCUAUUAUAUCCUUAGAAAUGAUAUGAAUGCAUAAAAACUUUAUAUUUUCUCUCGGAGUAAAUAACUUUUGCAAUUGAUUGCCGACUAUCAACUAACUGACUUUUCUUUUUUCAUCAUUUCUAAGGAUUAAAUGAGCAUAUUAAUAAUUUCUCGAUUAUACCAUAUAAUUUUAUAUAUAUGGAAGAGUAACGAAAUUAUAAUAGUAUUACAGGAGUGUAAAAUACAAAAGUAAAUAUUUAUAGAAUAGUUUUCUGUACUUUACUCUAUUACUAAUGAUAAAUAUGUCGGCUAUUUAUUAUUUGGUUAAAAUAUAUUCAACUUUUUGCCCCGUAACAAUAGAUUGAGGACACUAAUAAGUUGAGUUGGAUGGGCCUAAUAAGUUGAGUAGAACUGCGGUUCACAAUAGACGUAACAUCUAAAUGAGUUGAAUCAAGUUGAAAUCCAUGAGCCUAGUGGUUGAGCCUUUAAGUGUAUGCGAUGGAUGUGUCCUUACUAUUAGUACGCAUUUUUGAGAUAGUUGAUUAGUACUUACUAUCCACAAAAUACAUACAAAUACAUACAGAUUGAUUUAAUGUAAUCUAUACAAUCUAUUCAUGUCAUUCCCCACCUACUCCCCAAGGAAGUGCCCUAAACAUGAAUAAGAAAUUAGUAUUUGUGAUGCUAAAGUCCAUGGAGGAAGUGGUCAUAGUUGGAUGCUUGUGGAAUAUUAAACACUUAUUAUUGAUCAGAGACCAUUUUAGAGCCCCAGAUUUCAAUGUGAGAAUAUUUCAUCUCUUCUCAUUGUACUUGAGCUGCCAACCAAACAUCCAAAAAGUCUCCCUCUCCAAUGGACAAAAGACAAAAGAAUGAGUCUUCUUGCACUCUUUCUUGCAUCCUCUUUUUAUCUUUGAUAGCUCAUUAUAACCAAAAAUGAUGUACUAAUAAUGGUUGCACCAAGUGCAUUUGUAUAUCCAUGCACCGCAAAUUAAUAUUGUAGCUCUCUUUUUCAUUUCCACACUGAUUUCGAUUCCUAUUAUUGAACUUUUCAGUAGAAACGUCAUUCGGUUCUUUCACAACUUGGAUCUUACGCACGGGAUGAUCACCCAUCUAAAAUUUCUUUUCUAUUUCGGUUCUAAAUUCAAUUCUUACGGCUGUACUUUUCAGUAGAAAUAGCAUUCGGUUCUAUUUACAACUUGAAUCCUGUGCAUCGGAUGAUCAUCCAUCUAUAUCUCUUUUUCAUUACUUUUCUAAUUUCAAUUUUUACUGUUGAACUUUUCGGUACGUAAAAACAGUAUAAUAUUCGAUUCUUUCACAACUUAAAUCCCACGUAAUAGAUGAUCACCUAUCUAAAAUUUCUAUUCUAUUUCGUCUCUGAAUUCAAUUCCUACAGUUGAACUUUUAAGUAGAAAUAGCAUCUAGCUUUUUCACAACUCGAAUCUUGCACAGAGUAAUCCCCCAACGGAUGUGUGGUGGAAUGUAUUUCCACUGCAUGCAUUAAAAUGGCUCAAAUAUGUCCUCCUCCGAAUGCAUGGUGGAACCGCCUUAUGCACAAUAUUUUUCUACCCACGGUACCUAUUGCAUGCGAAGUGGGUUUGAAGAAAGUAAUUCUGUAACUGUCCGAAUAGAAAAGAUUAAAAUGAAAGAUAUGAUGGAGAUUAGUUGGUGUUUCCGUGGUGCACAGAUGUAGCGGUGCACCCGGUGCACCCAAUAAUUUUUCUAUUCCCUAGUUGUUCGUAUUAUUAGGUGAGGAAAAAGAAACCGUUGGACUAAAUCAGAGAGGUUCACUUCAUUUCAUUCACCUUAUAACACAUGGCUAGUGCUAUUUUUAAUUAAUAAAUUUAAAACUAAACAACAAAAAACUCUCUAAAUGUUUGUGUUGUUCACACUUUGAUCCUUUUACACCGUCAAACUUUUACAUCUGGGUCUCCUACUCUUAUACCAAAUUAAAGAAUAUAAAAUAGUAAUUUACCUCUAAAAACUUAAUAAAUUAUCAAAAGAAUAGUAGUUUUAAUUUUUUUUUAUUCAACAAUACCAAGAUGGUUUACCUACAAAUUUUAGCUUCUUUUAACAUAGACAAAAACAGUAACAUCAAUCAACCCCAAUAAAGAAUCCCUGAGGAGGCUUCUUUGAAGCUCCUUCCCAUGGUGGUUUUGGUUCCUUAAGGUGCAAACCCUAAGAGAGAGAGAGAGAGAGUAGAGAGAGAAAGAGAGAGGUGAAGUAAGAGAAAGAGAAGGGAAUAGAGAGAGAGAGAGAGAGGGGGAUGGGGGAGGUGAAGGUGGUGAAAACCAUAAGCAGGGCUUUAUCUCAGAGCCAUGUUGGCUUUGCUCUGUUUGGGUUCUUCUUGGUCAUCCUCACAUAUUUCACAGUUUUUGAGCAGUUCUCAACUAGGCCCCCUAAUGGUAAAUUAAGUCUCUUUCUUUCUCUAAAAUUUAUUAUGUACAAUCACCUAUAAAUCACUCAAAAAGCAAGAAAAAGAAGAGGAAACAUAUAUAUAUUGUUCAUUGAAUUCUUUGUUACUCAUUGGUUUCUCCUUUUCUUUUAUUAUUUUUCAUGUAUUUAUGCAGCACUUUUGCGAACUUCGCCGGCGGUUUCGGCGCAAAUGAAUCCAAAGGAGCAGGAAACAGAUGCUCUGAAGAAGGAUGAUGGGAUUAAACUGGAGGAGAAACCAACACCUGCUGUGGAUUUUCAUGGUGAAGAGGACAAUAAGAACACAGGUAAUCAAUAUAUGUAAAUUUGACUUGAAUUAUAUAUAAUCCUAAUGAUUGAAAUUGAAUUGUAACUGUUCAUACAAAUUGAUUUUGGUAAUAUCAGAGAAUGAUAGAAGAAUAGAAGAUCAUGAGAACCACAAGGAGCCUGAAGAUGCUGAAAAGAAAGAUGGAGUUGAUUCCAAGCAAUUUGGUGUGCAAUUUCAUGAUUUCCUUCUAACUUCAAUCCGAUAAUUUUCGUAGUUCAAUCAGUAACACAUCUCGAAUUAUGUUUUAUGAUCUUGCGAUAUUCAGGCCACGAACCCGAGAAGAAGGAAGAAAACGAUUCCAAGCAAUUCGGUACGCGGGUUUGCUUUCGCGAUUUCAAUCCAACAGUAAAAGAAAAAAAACAUAUUCAAUUAGCGACAAAAAUCGAACUAAGAUUUGUGAUCUUUGAUGCAGGCGGAGGAACCGAGCAUCCGAACCAACAGCCUGAGAAGAAGGACGAAACCGAGGUCAAGCAAUUCGGUGCGUAAGAGUUCGAUUCUUAAUGCGCAUGCGUGGCGUGUCUAUAACAUUUGGCAUAGGAAAAUGCAAUACCUGCUAAACGAAUGAGCGGUACUUGAAACUCUCGUAUUAAACUUGAAUAGUUGUAAUAUGAUUAAUUUUGGCAAUUGAAGCAGGCGGAGGGACGGAGAAUCGGCAGCGGCCGCCUCAGAACAAGCCGUUAUGCGACACGGCCGAUCCGCGAUCGGACGUGUGCGACAUGGAAGGCGACAUUCGGACGCACGGGAUCUCCUCCUCUAUCCUGUUCGUCCCUCCCUACCCUGUCUCCAAUCCGGAGCCCCAUGAAUGGAAGAUCAAACCGUACUCGCGAAAGUUCAUGAAUGGUAUCAAGGAAGUCAGUGUGAAGCAGCUGCACGGCCCGCAGGAAGCCCCUGCUUGUUCUGUCAGGCAGAGCAUUCCUGCCGUAGUUUUCUACCUCGGCGGCCUCACGGGCAACUACUGGCACGACUUCACCGAUGUUAUAAUUCCGCUCUUCAUCGAGGCUCGACAAUUCGACGGAGAGGUUCAAUUUCUCAUCACCAACAUUCAGGGUUGGUGGAUUGGCAAGUACCACAUGAUCCUCAAGCAGCUGUCACGGUACGACAUUAUCGACCUAGAUAAGGAUUUGCAGAUUCGGUGCUACCCGCGCAUGAUCGUCGGGAUCAGAAGCCACAAGGAGUUCAGCAUCGAGCCCUCGCGGGCUCCGAACGGACUAUCCAUGGUCGAUUUCCGAAAGUUCAUGAGGAUAGCCUAUUCUUUGGAUAGGGACUAUCCGAUCAAGCUGCGCGAGAACGUCGGCAGCAAGAAGCCGAGGCUGCUGCUCAUCGCGAGGGGGCUCAGUCGGAGAUUCACCAAUGUGGAGGAAAUCGUGAAGUCCGCAGAGAGGCUAGGGUUCGAGGUCGAGGUCGUGGACGCGAAGUUCAACGUGAACAUCGCGGAAUUCGCGAAGGUCGUGAACUCGUGCGACGUCAUGGUAGGCGUCCACGGGGCCGGCCUGACGAACUGCGUUUUCCUGCCGACGAACGCGGUUAUGAUCCAAGUAGUCCCCUACGGGAAGCUCGAGCACAUGGCGAAGAUCGAUUUCGGCGAGCCUGCGAUCGACAUGCAGCUGAAGUACGUCGAGUACAGCAUAAGCGCUGAGGAGAGUACACUGAUGGACAUGUUUGGGAAGGAUCAUCCUAUCAUCAAAGAUCCAAUGGCAAUCCACAGGAGUGGAUGGGAAAAGGUUGGGGAAUUUUAUCUUGGAAAGCAGGAUAUAAAGCUUGAUGUGAAUAGGUUUGCUCCCACUCUAUUGAAAGCCAUUGAUCUCCUCAAAGAAUAGGGGGGUUAUUGCACCACACAAAAGAGAAGUUCAAAUUUAGCAUAUUGGUUUCAAUUUUCACUUCAUGUUCUUUUUUUCUUUUUUUGGAUUAUUAGCUAAUUACAGUUACUAUUUAUUAUUAUUAAUUUUUUUUUGUAAAAGGAUAUCAAGUUAAAGAGUUCUUUUUUGGGAAAUAUUGGAUAUGCAUCUUGCUUGAGCAACAACAAUUUUUUUUGCUUGACAAAUUCGAAUUACAACUAAUAAAACAAAAUUUAUAUUGUGAAUUUUGUUAUUGAUGUUUUAAUUCAUUUGAAAUCAAAGUCGGAUUAUUCACGCGGUGACGAGAUUUAUUUACAUAAGUUUUGGGGGGCUUUUGCUUAUAUGCCUCUUAGGGCCCGUUUGGCCUAGCUUCUAGAAAAAUGAUUUCUGCAUAAAUGAUUUUAGUUUGGAAAGUGAUUUCUGUUAAAAACUGUAGAGCGGUUGGCUGAGUCUGAUAGAAAAGUGAUUGUGCUGAAGUGAUUUUAGAAAGCUGUUUGGCAAAUUUUUUUGCUAAAGUGAUUUUGUAAUGCUGUUUAACAUUAGUUAUUUUUUAAAACUAACUAAUAUCACAUACCAAUAUUUCAAGUUAUUAAUAAUUAUUUAAUAUAACAAAACCAUCUUAAUGAUAAAUAUCCAUUAGGAUAACAAUUUAUCUAAAUGUACUCAUCAAUGAUGCAGCAAUACGAUCACGAGUUUGGAUCAUGAUGUAAUCAUCUGUUACUCCACUAUAAGUCUGUGUCGAACUACUUGUACUGCUUUCAUCUUCUUCAAUGUUCGGCAUAUAAUUUAUAUCUUGAUCACAUUUGUUGAACUCUUCAUCUUGCGUUGAACUCAUCCUAAUAAAGUUAUGAAGUGUCAUAGUUGCAGACACUAUUUUUGAUUGAGUUGGCACUGGAUAACCUUGCAUCAUUUGUAAUAUACGCCACCGUGCUUUAAGUACACCAAAUGAUCGUUCAAUAACAUUCCUCAAGGAUGAAUGUGCAUGAUUAAACACUUCUUUACUAUAUACGUACUAUUGAAAAAUUUUAAAUUUAUCCUUCGAUAUUCAAAAUACAUUUUCUUAAUUAAAAUAUUUUUUUUUUAUUUAUUCAUUCUAAAAUUUAUAACUCUAAUUUCUUAAUUAUCACGUGUCUUUAUAUUAUGAAUUUUUUUAUUUUAAAACUUUAAAUAUUUUUAUUGUAUGUUAUAAUAUUUUAAAUAAUGAGUUAUGUUACGCUUUUAAAACACAGACAUAUGUGUGUGUGUCUGCCGUGUGUGUGUUUGUGCGCGUACGUGUGCCCACUCGCCCACCUGCGGGGGAGUAUGGAUAAAGAUGUUAGCUAUUUAAAAAUUUACGAAUAAAUUUUAUUCAUGCUCAAAUAAUCUGCUGAGUAUAAUUACCCAUCCGCAAGUUAUCCAAUCCGCCGAUUUACCAGAUCUAGCUAGUCACUCUCACUGGGUAGGGAAGUUAGGCAAACUAACUGGCCAAACAAAAAAGCCGCAGCAUUUGAUUCUACACUUUGCUUUUUGCCGGUCCUCUUUCUUUAAUAAAGAUUUGUUCACUUUACAUGAUCAUGAUUUUGCAAAAGGUUCUUCCCAUGACGACGCCGAUGAUUAAUUAAGAUUGAUUGUGACAAUGUUUAGUGACCUAUCACACACGAAAAAACAAUCUCUUUGUGCAGAAAUAGUUUGGUACAAUCAAAUUGAAAGGGUUCGACAACCGGUGCUCUCAAAUGCUAUUUUCAGGAGUUGCUGAUACGUCACAUCAUAGAUUAAUUUAUACAGUAUAGACUAGUACAUAACGGAACAAAAAGUAUUUUUCAUGCUGAAAAAAAUAAUUUUCAAGGUUCAAAUUUACUGGACUUCGUGUAGAAAAAAAUUGUUGGUGAAAAUUUCAAAAAUUUUCCAAUAAUUAUUUUACUUUUUAAUUCAUUAAUUUAUUAUUUUUAUUAUUAAUUAACUUAAGUUUUUAUUAUUGCGGACGUUUUGGCUUGCGCCUCGCGUGCACCGUUACGCGCGCUCCCACUCCGCUCGCGCGCACGCACGAGAAGCGGACGACCGUUCCACAGGCGGGCGUUCAAGUCUCCCAACGUUCCACUGUGUAACGAUCGAUCUUUGACCCUCUAUUCAUUAUAAAAGGGCUUCACUGUUCAUCAGUUCAUGGUGACAAUGAGAAAGCAAUUUUGAGAGAGAAAGAGAAAAGACUAUUACGAGUUGUUUAAUUUUUUCUAUUGUUUUAAUCCAUUUGAUUUGAUUCGUUUAUCAUCGGGUGUUGAAAGAGUCUCCGUCAACCUCUUCCGCGUUCGUGCUCGUAGGAGGAGGAAUUCCGGUCGUAUCUUGGGGCGGUGUUUCGGGUUAAUCCCGCACGAAAGACAGGAAUACGCCUUAGGGCAGUGCUUCGCACGCUUCCGGAUCAAUUAAAAUCAUUAUUUGGAUAUUUGCGUUUAUCUGUAAGUUGAUUUAUUUAUUUUCAUAAUAAAAUUUAGUUAGAUUUAAAUCACACUCAGAUUUUUUGUGUGGUAUUUGUUCUAACAAAAGUUUGGUAUAAUCAAAUGGAAAGGGUUCGACUAGGAGUGCACUCAAUUGAUAUUUUCGGGAGCUGCUGAUGUGUCAUAUGUAGAUUGAUUUUGUGUAUCAUCGACUAGCACGUAGAAGGUGCAAAAAAUAUUUUUCCUACUAAAAAACAUAAUUUUUAAGGUUUAAAUUUGCUGGUGACCUUGCGUAGAAAAAGUUGGUAUAAUGAAAAAAAAGGGGCACCACUAUGGGUGCUCCCAAAUGCUAUUUUUAGGAGCUACUGAUGCAUCACAUGUAGGGGUGGAAUACGAGCAGGAUUUUUCAGCUCGUUUAAUAAACGAGCCGAAUAUGAGCUAGGGUCAGCUCGCUCGUGUUCGGCUCGAUAACAGCUCGAAUACAUAUAUUUUAUAUUUAUAUAAUUUAUUUAAUUUAUAUUUUUAUAUAUAAAUAAAUAAUUAUAUAUAAUAUAUAUUUUUAUUAUUUAAGUUUUAACAAAAUAAAAAUAUAAAUACGAGCUUAAUUAUAAAAAGACUCAUUUAUAUGUAAAAUUUCAACUAUUAGAUAAAAGUCUAAUGGAUAAGGUUUUAUAAAUUUAUUUUUUAUAUAUAUUUAAUCUAAUCUUUUUUAAUUUAUUAUUCGUUGGCCAGCUCGUGUUCGGAGCCGAACACGAGCCGACCCCAGCUCGCUCGUGUUCGGCUCGUUUACACCCCUAAUCACAUGUAGAUUGGUUUGUGCAGCAUAGACUAACAUGUAAAAGGUACAAAAAGUAUUUUUCAUACUGAAAAUAGAAUUUUCAAUGUUUAAGUUUUGUUGGACUUUGCGGAGAAAAAGCUUAGCAUAUCAAACGAAAGGGUGGGGACUAUGAGUGCUCUCAAAUGCUAUUUUCAGAAGCUGCUGAUGUGUCACAUGUAAAUUGAUUUUAGAGAAAAUUUCAAAAACCACUACUUUGGUUUCACACUUUCUAACUGUAGUACCUUAUGGUUUAAAGUAUAUCAGUUUAGUGUCUUGUGGUUUUUUUUUUAUCUUUUUAUUAUCAAUUUCAUUAAUUUUUUUCGUUAAAUCAGUGACAAAGUUAAAACUAAAGGGUGCUAAAGUAAAUAUUCGAUAAGUCUAGAUUGGUAUCUGAAGUUUUUCAUAUAUAAUUUAACGAAAUAUUAACGGAAAAGCUAACGAAAAGAUAAAAAUAAAAUCAUAUGACACUAGCUUGAUACAUUUUAAAUUACAUGAUACUAAAAAAAGAAAGUACGAAACCACAAAAAUGGUAUUUGAAGUUUAUUCUUGAUUUUACGUAGUAUAGACGAGCAUGUAAAAGGUGUAUGGGUAGUUAAUUUAGUUUUUAAUUUUUUUAGCGAUAUAUGAAUAGGCACGCUCUAACUCUUAUAGGGAUGCAAACGGGGCGGAUCCGGGGGCGGGAGAGUUCCCCCACCUCCCGCUCCAUUUCUUAUCUGGGCCGGGCGGAUUCGGGGCGGGUUACUUUUCAUUUUAUUUUUGGCUCCCACUUACCACUCCAUUCGGGGCGGAUCGGGGCGGGAGCGGAUUUUUAACGGAUCGAGGUAGAUUGAAGGAAGAAAAGAGUCUCCCGCCUCCCGCUCCAUUUACUUGGCGGAUCGGGGCGGAUUCAGGACGGGUUAUAUUUUUCUAUAUUUUUUGUUCCCACCUACCACCCCAUUCGGGGCGGAUCGGGGCGGAGCUCCACCAACCCGGAUCCAUUUGCAUCCCUAAACUCUUAGACUUUUGACAAAUCACCCCCUGAACUUUUAAGUUUGGCAAUCAGAUUCAUAACUUUAUCAAAUAAUUCACUUGGCUUAUUCUGUCAAGCAAAUUGAGUUACUAUUAAACAACUGUGCUAGAAGCAUGUCUUGUAGAUAUCUCAUGAAUACUUCUUUUCUUUUCACAAAUAAAAUAAAAUAUAAAUUUUAAAGAAUAAGUCGAAUCUAUCUUCCAUUUUUAUUUUUUUUUUCCAAGCAGUAUAACAAAAAAGAUAGGUUUUAAUAAUAUGCAAAACAUUUGCCAAGAAUGGAUAUUUAGUCAGUAAGUUCUCUAAAAAAAUAUGACCUUUUAAAUUAUUGGAUAAAGUUUAUAUUAAAUAUAAAAAUAUUUAAACACCGUUCUCUAAUAGGUUAAGCUUUUAGAGUACAACAGUUGUUUCACAUGAUAUCAGAGUAGGAGAUCGUGAGUUUAAGUCAUGCCAGACUCCUGGCAUAUUAAUUUUCUCUCAUUUAAUUCAAGCCCACGUCAUUAACCGACUAAAAAAUGUCGAGUCCAGACGUGAAUUCUCAAAAUUACUAAUUUAUAUACGUAUUUGCGAACGCUUGAAAGUUUUAGAGGGUGUGUUUGUAUAUUUUUUCCUUCUUUUUAAGUUGUUUUCUUUUUCUUUUUCUUUUUCUUUUUUUUGCAUAUCCUUAAUGUUAGUUUCACAUCCAAAUUUCCAUUUUUUUUUUAUUUUGCAACAAAUAAUCAACUUUUUCAUAUUUCACUUUACAUGGGCCACAUGCUUGAGAGAGAGAGAGAGAGAGAGAGAGAGAGAGAGUACAAAUGGAAACCAAACUCUUGUGGCAACUAGGGCUGGCAAACGAGCGAGCCGGCUCGCGUUCGACUCGUGUUCGGCUCGAUAUUUGGCUCGCUCGAGCUCGACUCGAAAUUAAAUGAGCCGAGCUUGAACAAAAUAAAAGGCUCGAAAUUCAUUUCAAGCCGAGCUUGAGUAUUACUCAGCUCGUUCGAAUUAGGCUCGAAAAGCUCGAAAAGCUCGAAUAUAUAUAUAUAUAUAAUGUAUUUUAAUUAUAUAUAGGCUUUAAUUUAAUUUGGGCCAUUAUUGUUGGCCGAUAAAAUAAACCCAACAAGUACAACCGUGCAAUUGAGCCCAACUCUAAAUUUACAUAACACACUUCUUUUUUCGGACUUGGGUCACUGUUGCACAUAACCAUCAAAGUGAUACAUUCAAUUUUUCACAAUCCCUUACUUUUUUUUUCUCUCUCUCUCUCUCUCUCUCUCUCCUCUCUCUCUCUCUCUCUCUCUCUAGACCUAUAUCUUAGUCAAGAAGUCACCCUAGCACUUCAAUUUCUUAUAAUUAAAUUUGUUUUUUGAACUAUUGGACAUUUGCACUCAAAUUGUAGGCUUACGAUUGUUCUUAUAAAAAAUUAAAUUGAUUGAUUAUAUAUAGUUGAAAUAUUCAAUCGGGUCGUGUUGAAGCUCGAGGCUUCGGCUUCGACUCGAAAUUAGCGCUCUCGCUUCAGCUCGGCUCGAAUUAAUUAAGCCGAGCUUUUCGAGCCUACAUUUAUGGCUCGAAUUAAUUUACAAGCCGAUUUGGAGCUAGACAUUAAGCUCGCUCGAGCUCGGGUUCGUUUCCACCCUAGUGGCAAACCCAUGUGGGGAUUUGGCGGCAACUAAUCAUAUAAAUAUUUCUUUAAUUUAAACAUACAUAUUCAAAAUUUUUAUUUAUAAACUUAGACUUAAGGCAGUUAUAUAUAUUAUAUAUAUAUAUAUAUAUAAUAUAUUAUAAAUUUGAAGCUCCAAAAAUAUAUAAUUAUAUAUAUAUAUAUAUUUGCACUUUCUGAAAAUAUAUAUAUAUAUUUCUAUAAGCUCCAAAAAUGUAUAAUAUUAAAUAGUAAAAAUAAUUUUUAUAUUUUCAGAAAGUGGUAAACAGUUGAUUACAUUUAAAAGCGGUGAAUCAUUCACCGCAUAACACUAAUUUUGUAAUUAAAUAAUUUUUUAAAAAACUAUUUUUAUAAUUUUAAUACUUUUUAAGUAAAAAAAAAAAGAAGAAAAUUCAACCCUUGUUUCAAUUUUGGUUAGCUGGUCAAAUGGGUUUCCAGAUUUCUGCAUCUUUGCAGUCCAGGGAGGCAGAGACUUUGCCUCAAUAAUUGACCUACUUGUCAUUACACAUAUACCCCUACAAGUCCCUCUAUUCUAAUUUGUACCCAAAAGUAUCCCAUGGGUUAGUUUCUCCUUUUUGACACCGUCCUUGAAAUUAAUAGAUGUAGCCAUUACUCACUUAAUAACACUUAAAAAAUAUUAGUUUCGAAAUAAAUGUGUUCCCUAAUUUUUCUAUAAAUUAUUCUUUUGUUUUCUUGAAAAGAAUUAUGGUAGUUUAAAAUAAUGUGUCUGUCUUAGUAUUCCGGUAUGUUUUUUUUAGUUUUUAUAUAAAAAUUAAGAGUGAGUUAAUGCACAGAAGAAUUGAAGAUCUUUUGUGAGCAUAUAUAUAUAUAUAUAUAUAUAUAUAUAUAUAUAUAUAUAUAUAUAUAUAUAUAUAUAUAUAUAUGUGUGUGUGUGUGUAAUAAUUUUUGAUGAAAAAAUAAGAUAAGUUGAGCUGAAUUUUCUACUUUUUAUUAAGAAAAAAAGAUUUCUUUUUAUCUUACUCUGAUUUCUCAGGUAGACUUUCUGUAAGAGAAAAUUAUUGCUCGACCAUUGUAUCAGUAGAUUCUGCGUAGUGGUAAGUGUGCUCAAGUUCAACAUGAUGGAUAUUAUGGUGGACUGAGUAUUUAUCUGGUCUUGUUUGUUUUAUCUCUGCAUCUCCUAUAAGUUUCGGCGUUACCUUUUCUGUCUAAUAUUACAGUUUAGUCUUUUGAACAAUCUUGCUAAUCAUUCUAGCUUGCAUUAAUAAUCUAUUUUUUUCCCUUAUAAUUUGGCAAUUUUGUAGAAAAGUCAACGUGUAAUAUAUGGAAAAGUGCAGUACUAAAGUAUGAAAAUUAACUUGCAAUUUUGGGAUAAUGUAGGAAUUAUUCUAACUUGCAUGACUUUUUAUAGGGGUAUAAAUGUAAAAAAAACCCCUCCUAGUUAAUUAAUAUCAUUUAAGUAGCUGUGGGUUAGGAACAAGGUGGGCCUCAUUUAAUUUCCUGGAAUGCAUUGCAACCACCUCCCACAUGAAAGAGACCCUGAUGGAGAUUCUUGGGAACAACAAAAACCUUCUUAAAAGCUAUGCCCUAAUAAAAAAAAAUAAAAAAUAAAAAAUAAAGAAAUAAAAAAACAUGGUAAAUUGCAGCUUUGGUUCCCAAUGUUCGAGAUAAGUGAUAUUUUGGUACUCAAAUUUUAAUUAACUUAUUAUAAUUUUUUAUUUAAAAUUUUUAACUUAUCAUAAAUUAGUCUUACAGUUUAAUUUAUUUGGUUAAAUACUGAUAUUUCGAUGAUGCGUACGGCACUAACAUGUUACUAUCGCAUUAGAGGCUCAUUAUUACUAGAUCUACUAAAUUUGACUUGUAUGACUUAAAUUUUAAAAGUUUGAGCCAAAACUCGUAAUAAAUUAAAAGUUAAUAAUUGAAGUAUUACCAGCCUACUAGAAGCUUGAUGACCAAAAGUGAAAAGCUGUUGCUUAUUUACCCUAGGCUACUUUUCAAAAUUUUUAAAUUUAUCUUAAAAUUAUUAAAAUACCCAUUUAAAUUUUAAAUAUCUGAGAUUUGAAAAUAUUAGAAGAAAUUUUUGAAAAUCAAUGAAAUUACUUUGGUCCAGCAGAAAUAUAUUAGGUAUUUUUAAAAUUUUUAAAAAUAGGGUAGAUAUUAUAAAAAAAGGAAAAAAAAUAUCCUUAUCAUGUGGGCCCCACACUACAUUGACAUUUGACAUAUUAUUAUUGCUCCACAUCACAUAUAUUUUUGGAGUUUCUCCUCUCUCUCUCUCUCUCUCUCUCUCUCUCUCUCUCUCAACAACCAUUUCCUCUUCCACAUCUUGUUCAAAAGAAUCAAAACUUUCCCCUUCUCUCUCUCUCUCUCUCUCUCUCUCUCUCUUUUGCUUAACAAAAAUAGACCCAAAAAACCCACUGCAAUUUCCAUGUGCUUUCCCCAUCUCUCUCUCUCUGUAGCUCUCUCUCUCUCACCUAACAGUUCAAUAAUACACCACUGGGCCAACUCAGAUUUCAAAAUCAGUGCAAAUUCAAAUUAUCAUCAUAAAAAAAUAAGGCAAGUGGGUACUGGUUUGUUUGUCCAUCUUUGUUCCUGCUUUUUCUGGGAGCUUCAUUCAGAUGUUGCAAUUUGACAGCAAACUUCAUCUUCAAUCUGCUGCAGGAAAAUAGAAUGGCUUCUGCUGCAUACAGCAGAAGACUGAAGCUUCUUGCAAGGGAGAGGAAACCAACAAAGCAAGAUGCAAAAUCAGUGAAGAGUUUCAGUAAAAUCGAGCCGAAAAAGAUCGGCAUCGGAUUGGUUUCGGCAUGUCUUUUGGGUUUACUCACCUAUGCCUCUCUGUUGAAGUUCUUCGACAGCGAAGAUCUGCCGAAUUUUAGUAAGUUUUCUUCUUCUUCUUCUUCUUCUUCUUCUUUUCCUAGUACUUAGCCAUGUUGGCUCGAAAGGGUCGGCAUCCUGUCCUGUGGCAAAAGGUCAGGUUAAAAGUGGUGUGGGACUGGAUUGGGCUGAGUCAUGUUCGAAAUAGUGUAAGAUUGGUUGGACCAAGUCACAAUCGAGACCUGUGGGCGCUGUAUCCGUACGUUUUAAGUGAAUUGAUUGUAUAUUUUUAACGGCUAGAACUUUAGGGAUUAAUGAUUAAUGUCAACAAUCUGAUAAGAGAGUCAAAAUUCACGGAUUCGAUUUCCGUAUGCUGCGAAUUUGUACGGGUGUUAGGAGAGAUUGUUGGCCGGAGGCCAACCAUUCACUUAAUUAUUGGCUUAAAAGGGCCAGCAAAAGGCCAACCAUACGCUUUAAGUGCAUUGAUUGUAUAUUUCUAACGGCUCGAACUUUUGUAAUUAAUGGUUAGCGCCAAUGAUCCAACAAGCCAUGCCGAUGUUUCUUUUUUCUAAUUUAUUUGAUUGGUUUUGCAGCAAAUACUACUACAAUUUCAGUGACAGAUGAGGCUUCUGCGGCUCCGAUCGAUGAAAGAGGUAUGAUAAGAACAUGGUCCUUUUAAAAUGUUGCUGAAUUUUAAAGAUUCAGAUGUUUUUAAUCAGAGUGUGUUGUGUAGAGAUUGGAAUGAAAAAUGAAACUAUUGAGAGCGAAUCGGGCACUGUCGAAGAGGAUGAUUUUGUGCAGCAGGAGGAGGAGAUUACACCCUCUAGGGAAUCUGAUUCUGAUUCUUCUUCUGCAACAAAAGAUUCUUCAGAUAUUAGUGCUACAACAUCAGGUAAUUAAUUUCCAAAUUACCUGAUUUCAGUAUCUGAAAAUAAAUGUUUCAGAUUCUGAUUCUGGGUUCAUAUUUACUUGCAGAUGAAGAUAUUGGAAUUGUGGAGGACUCCUCAAAGAGUAACACCUCACAAAUAGGUAAAAAUGCCAAUGCAUUGUUUGUUUAACAGAGUAUUUUUUCCAGUUGCCAAAUUUAGUGGCGGUAUAUUUAGUUUGCCCCCAAAUUAAACCAAAAUUGCACUCUGUUCCCUAUGAAUGAGACAAUAAUUUACAUUGAGCACAGAUACUAUAUCAUCUAGGUGAUAAAAUGCAUAUUCUUGUAUAUUGGGGGUACUCUCUAAUUAUUGUAUUUGGAACUGUGGCCAAUUUUGGCGCAGUUCCAACUGCUACUGUUGGGCCUUUUCAUGCAGUUUUAACUGUAGUUAGAUUCAAACGCAUCAAACCAAACACUGUAUUUAGAUUUGUAUACAGCUCCUAAGCUUAAUUACUAGUGUUAGUUGUUUACUCGCAUGUACAUUUUCCGCAGUUCAAAAUUUUCGAACCAUCAAGCCUGAGAGUAAGAUCACUUGUGAUGAUAAGAGCAUAGAUGAGGGUUUUCCGUAUGCGAGGCCGGUAUUCUGCGAAAUGACCGGAGAUGUUCGGAUUAGCCCGAAGAAUUCUUCCGUGUUCUUCGUGACUUCGUCAGAAGGAAUUGAAGAGGAGCGUCGGAUAUACCCGUAUGCGCGAAACGACGACUAUCUCAUCCCCAAAGUCCGCGAAGUGAUCUUGAAACCAGUGAAUGCCGAUCACGAAACACCCAGUUGCACCGCGAUUCAUGACGUACCCGUGGUGGUCUUCUCCGUCUCCGGUUACACCGGAAACUUCUUCCACGACGUGGCCGACGUGCUGAUCCCUCUCUUCAUGACUUCGCGGCAGUUCGGAGGAGAAGUGCAGUUUGUCGUCGCGAAUUACGACAAGCGGUUCCUGCGCAAGUACGAGCCGGUCCUGAAGAAGCUCUCGCGCUACGAGACUAUCAACUUCGAUACCGACGAAAGUGUCCACUGCUUUCGGCACGCGUUUUUAGGAUUGAUAAGAGACAGGGACCUGAUCAUCAAUCACCACCCGACACGGAAUCCGAGGGGCUACUCGAUGCCCGACUUCACCGAAUUCCUGCGCGGCGCGUUCUCGCUCAGGAGGGCCGCGCCGUCGGUCCUCGGCGAGCAGCACAGGAAGAGACCGCGAAUGUUGGUGAUCUCGAGGACUGGGACGCGGAAGCUGACGAACAUACGCCAGGUGGCGGCGAUGUCGGAGGAGCUAGGAUUCGAGGUGAUCAUCUCGGAGGCGCGCGCGGACGUGCGGCGGUUCGCGCAGGUGGUGAACUACUGCGACGUGCUUCUGGCGGUCCACGGUGCGGGACUGGCGAACGAAAUCUUUCUGCCGCCGGGGGCGGUCGUGAUUCAGAUAGUCCCGUGGGGAAAGAUGGAAUGGAUGGCAGAAAACUUUUACGGGAAGCCGGCGCGGGAGAUGAAGCUGAAGUACCUGGAGUACUACAUUGCGAAAGAGGAGAGUAGUUUGAUGAAGAAGUAUCCGCGGAACCACAUUGUGUUCAGGAACCCCAUGGCAAUCCAUGGGCAGGGUUGGAAAGCUCUGAGUGAGGUGAUCAUGGCACAAGAUGUGAAGAUCAACUUGAGGAGGUUUAGGCCUACUUUGUUGGAAGCUAUUGACCUUCUCCAAGAGUAGUAGAAUCCUUCAAAACGUAAAACGAUAUUCGAUAUUCGCGCAUCGCACUGACUGCUAGUAAAGUUGGCAGAGACUGUAUUCUUUGAGUGAACGGCCGGAUGUUUAAUCUUCUUCAGAGCAAAAGAAGUUACGGGGGCACGGAGACAGUUGUUCUUUUAUUGAUUUUUAAAACUUUUUUAUGUA